ACACGGAAGGUGCAAGCGCUAACCGGAACCACCGGGCGCAAAGCGCUCGCAGGCGGCUUUGUAAGUCAGGUGUGAAAGCCCACGGCUCAACCGUGGAAUUGCACUUGAUACUGCAUUGCUUGAGUUCGGGAGAGGGUAGUGGAAUUCCAGGUGUAGGAGUGAAAUCCGUAGAGAUCUGGAGGAACACCAGUGGCGAAGGCGACUACCUGGACCGAUACUGACACUGAGGAGCGAAAGCGUGGGGAGC
rnacentral:rRNA from 1 species